UCGAGCGGACAGAUGGGAGCUUGCUCCCUGAUGUUAGCGGCGGACGGGUGAGUAACACGUGGGUAACCUGCCUGUAAGACUGGGAUAACUCCGGGAAACCGGGGCUAAUACCGGAUGGUUGUCUGAACCGCAUGGUUCAGACAUAAAAGGUGGCUUCGGCUACCACUUACAGAUGGACCCGCGGCGCAUUAGCUAGUUGGUGAGGUAACGGCUCACCAAGGCGACGAUGCGUAGCCGACCUGAGAGGGUGAUCGGCCACACUGGGACUGAGACACGGCCCAGACUCCUACGGGAGGCAGCAGUAGGGAAUCUUCCGCAAUGGACGAAAGUCUGACGGAGCAACGCCGCGUGAGUGAUGAAGGUUUUCGGAUCGUAAAGCUCUGUUGUUAGGGAAGAACAAGUGCCGUUCAAAUAGGGCGGCACCUUGACGGUACCUAACCAGAAAGCCACGGCUAACUACGUGCCAGCAGCCGCGGUAAUACGUAGGUGGCAAGCGUUGUCCGGAAUUAUUGGGCGUAAAGGGCUCGCAGGCGGUUUCUUAAGUCUGAUGUGAAAGCCCCCGGCUCAACCGGGGAGGGUCAUUGGAAACUGGGGAACUUGAGUGCAGAAGAGGAGAGUGGAAUUCCACGUGUAGCGGUGAAAUGCGUAGAGAUGUGGAGGAACACCAGUGGCGAAGGCGACUCUCUGGUCUGUAACUGACGCUGAGGAGCGAAAGCGUGGGGAGCGAACAGGAUUAGAUACCCUGGUAGUCCACGCCGUAAACGAUGAGUGCUAAGUGUUAGGGGGUUUCCGCCCCUUAGUGCUGCAGCUAACGCAUUAAGCACUCCGCCUGGGGAGUACGG
rnacentral:rRNA from 2 species